rnacentral:rRNA from 1 species
UAGGGAAUCUUCCACAAUGGGCGAAAGCCUGAUGGAGCAACGCCGCGUGUGUGAUGAAGGGUUUCGGCUCGUAAAACACUGUUGUAAGAGAAGAAUGACAUUGAGGGUAACUGUUCAAUGUGUGACGGUAUCUUACCAGAAAGGAACGGCUAAAUACGUGCCAC